UGUUAAAAUUUUUAUUUAUUUGUACGGUUAAAAACAGGUGUGCUUGACAAGAUAAUCAGACAAUGACACGUGGUGUACCGUGUAUACAUCAUAUUGAUAUAUAAAGAUUAGUUUUUAACUAUAGAAAUAGAUGGAACUUUUAAGA
rfam:Gossypium arboreum cultivar AKA8401 contig_70896_1, whole genome shotgun sequence.